AGAGGGAGAAUGAGAGGAAAGAAAAAAUCCUCUUUUUUUUUUCUUUUCAUGGUUCUUUUGGGCAAAAAUGGGGGACCGUGUGGUCCCUCCCUUGUUUAGCUGAUCAGAAGCGUAGCCGGUGCGGUGGUGGCUGGUGGUAGGAGGGGCUGUGAUGGUGCAGUUCGAAAGAAGCCAGAUCGACGGUCAGCGGUGACCAUCGGCACUAGAAAACCAAAGAAAAGAGGGCAGAAAUAGGGGACUUUUUCCUAAUAAAAUCUGACAAAUUCGGUUGCCGAUGAUCGUGCACACAAGCAAGGAAAGGAAGGGGGAGAAA
rnacentral:lncRNA from 1 species